UCCCUGGUGGCUCAGACAGUAAAGCGUCUGUCUACGAUGCGGGAGACCCAGGUUCGAUCCCUGGGUUGGGAA
rfam:TPA: Bos taurus chromosome 9, whole genome shotgun sequence.